rnacentral:rRNA from 1 species
GUCUGGGAAACUGCCCGAUGGAGGGGGAUAACUACUGGAAACGGUAGCUAAUACCGCAUAAUGUCGCAAGACCAAAGAGGGGGACCUUCGGGCCUCUUGCCAUCGGAUGUGCCCAGAUGGGAUUAGCUUGUUGGUGAGGUAACGGCUCACCAAGGCGACGAUCCCUAGCUGGUCUGAGAGGAUGACCAGCCACACUGGAACUGAGACACGGUCCAGACUCCUACGGGAGGCAGCAGUGGGGAAUAUUGCACAAUGGGCGCAAGCCUGAUGCAGCCAUGCCGCGUGUAUGAAGAAGGCCUUCGGGUUGUAAAGUACUUUCAGCGGGGAGGAAGGGGUUAAGGUU